ACGAGCCUGCCGGCUAGGCGACCAGUCCGGAACCGGCCAGCCGCCUCAGUCAGUCAGCCAGCGUCGCGGCGGGGGCGACGCUGGGUCCUGCUCGGACCAUUUUAACUGCGGCUCCGCAGCCGUCGCCGGCGCGCGCGCCCGAGACACAGCUCAGAGCCGCAGGAGCGCGCGGCCCGUUCCGGAGGGGGCGGAGCUGGUCGCGGCGGCGCGCUCGGGGCGUGGACGCGGGCGCUCAGCUGCUCCCCUGAGGCCGAGGCCAGACUGGCCCUGCUGGCUGGGAGGUGGCCGGCGAGGGUGCGGAGCUCUCGGGGUGUAGCGCACGCCCCUCCCUCUCGUUGCCCCAGGUUUCUCAGACCGUUGCGCGCGCCCCGCUUCUGAAGCGGGAGGAGACACUUCCGAGCCAGCUGUGUGACAUCCGUUUCCACAGCCGCGCUGACGUUUUGAGGUGUAAGUUCAACAGCUGCCAUUGGCCGGGAGCCGCUGGGCUCUUCUCCUCACCUUCCACUCCAUCCUCGCCCCCAACUCGGAAACAGGCUUCAUCGGAACCGCAAACUGGGUUCCACCGGAAGGCCCUCUGGCAGGAGUGGCAGAUGCGCUGUCUUUGGGUGACAGCGCCCGUCAUCACGGGAGAGGCCAGUUGGUUGUGCGGUGCCACUGUGCUCCUCACUUGUUUUCAUACUUGUUGCAUACUACGGCCUUUCCACAACUAUUUCCAAAUGAAAAUAUAGCAAAAUACCUGUAUACGGCGGAGAGACCGUUUCUCAACCCAGUAUCUACACAGCUUUCAUCCCACGGCCUGCAUGUAAGAGGCUCUUACAGGGCCCCAGAGCUCCAUUGAUAAAUAAAUUUCAGAAGCAUUGCAAAUCAUUGCCCUAGAGACCUGGGUGCAACUCUUAGAAGGGUCCGAGAAGAUAGGAGAGGUGAGAGGCAUUGGGAAAUACAACAGCAUAGAAAGGAAGACAUCUCAAUGAUCUACUUGCUGCAUCAAGAAAAGGAAAAAAUGGAAUGGCAGCUUUAAUACUGUGAACAAAGUUUCAGAAAUGAAAAGCUUAUAUUUCCAUGGAUGCAAGCUAAAGAAAUUUUGAUAGUUACAACAAAUUCACAAACUGUGACAUCUGGAAACCUGCAAAGUGAUAAUAAUGAAUCCAGUGGGUUCAAUAUCUUGAGGUAUCUACUCAGCAGAGGUUCUGAGAGGCUCUGACAGUCCAUGAGAAAGUGACCACACACCACUUCAAUGACCUCUGAAACUGUAGUAAGUCUAGAAGAUUGUAUUCUUUCCUUAGAGGAAAAAAAAUUUCUCCAUUGUAAAUUUUUUGAAUAUAGGAAAUAAAAUGGCAAGAAGAAGCAA